rnacentral:rRNA from 1 species
AGGUGUGGGACUCAUUCCANGANUUCCGUGCCNCAGCUNACGCAUUAAGNGCCCCGCCUGGGGAGUNCNGCCGCAAGNCUAAAACUCAAAGGNAUUGNCGGGGGCCCGCACAAGCGGCGGAGCAUGCGGAUUAAUUCGAUGCAACGCGAAGCACCUUACCUNGGUUUGANAUAUACGAGAAGCCUCUAGAGAUAGAGCUCUCUUUGGACANUCGUAUACAGCUGGUGCAUGNCUGUCGUCAGCUCGUGUCGUGAGAUGNUGGNUUAAGUCCCGCAACGAGCGCAACCCUCGUCUUAUGUNGCCAGCACGUAAUGGUGGGGACUCAUAAGAGACUGCCGGGGUCAACUCGGAGGAAGGUGGGGAUGACGUCAAGUNAUCAUGCCCCUUAUGUCCAGGGCUUCANGCAUGNUACCAUGGCCGGUACCAAGGG